GAGAUGAUUUCCCUGUGAGUGGGCCGGUCCUGAUAUCAUCCGGAAUUGCCAGAACAGUUGAUCCCCAGGAGCUUGACUUGGUGAAGGUUGGGAACUCAAGACAAUGCCAAUGAACAUUUAGCUCGGAGGAAUUUGGUCUGUGACCACAGAGCAAACAGCAAGACCAGGGACACAAGGUAGAGAAGAGUGAGUGGAAAACAUCUCAUCUGAUCUCUACACGGCCAAUGACUGUCGAAGGGGCGGUGCAAUCAGGUCCCUAACCUGCUGGGCCUGCCGCCAGAGGGUCCCGUCCAGGCUGCUGCAGGAGCAGCCCCAGGAACCAGGCCGGACCUCGAGAAGCCGAGGGAAGGGGAGUCGCGGGCUUCAGGCUUCAGAAAGAAGCGAGGCAGGGGAAAUCCCUUCUGGAAGGAGGGGUGAGGAGGUAGCUCCACGUGCCCGGUGGCUGCUAUCCUCGGUUUUACCACUCUGGAUUGUGAGGUCCUCGCGAGCUGAGCUCCUAGUUACCCCCGGAUAAUGCUCAGCAGGUGUCUGGCCGAGGGUGAGUCUUCAAGAGGGCGGGACAUUAACGCUGUGAUGUGAAGCUCUGCCGGUGUUUUUCUACAGUUCACACAAUCACCAGAAAGCCCGUGUCUUGGCACCAGAACCUGGAGGAACCUGCAGACGAUGGGGCCGGGAGUGGAGACCUCAUACCGUGCCGAUGGAGACAGACAAGUAGCCAGGUUCCUAAAUCUUAUCCACCAGGCCGCUCAGGGGCCACGGAAGAGAUACCCAGACACGCAAACAGAAAGCCCAGAAAUUGGACGGGACUCUGAGGCCUAGGAGUGUGUGCUGAGCCCCUGGGGUGCGCUGGCCCAGGCCCCACGGACUCUGAACCCAGGUUGCCCUCCCUCCCCGGGGGUUGCCUUCUGAUGCCCACCAUCUCCUCUCUGGGUCAGCCCGGAAUGUGACGAGCGCAGGCUGAACCGUGUCAGGGUGCACAGCGACAUUGCGCCCCACAAGGCUAAAGCGUGGAGCUGGCGAGAAGAUGAUCGCCUCGCGUCGUAUUCAGCGCCCACCUCGGUCUCAUCCCUGAAACCCAGCGUGUGGGCUGUGUGGAUAAAUAAAGAUGACUUUCCAGCGUCAGUCUGA